ACGGAAGGCAGCAGUAGGGAAUCUUCGGCAAUGGGGGCAACCCUGACCGAGCAACGCCGCGUGAGUGAAGAAGGUUUUUGGAUCGUAAAGCUCUGUUGUAAGAGAAGAACGUGUGUGAGAGUGGAAAGUUCACACAGUGACGGUAAAUUACCAGAAAGGGACGGCUAACUACGUGCCCGCAGCCGCGGUAAUACGUAGGUCCCGAGCGUUGUCCGGAUUUAUUGGGCGUAAAGCGAGCGCAGGCGGUUUAAUAAGUCUGAAGUUAAAGGCAGUGGCUUAACCAUUGUUCGCCUUGGAAACUGUUAUACUUGAGUGCAGAAGAGGAGAGUGGAAUUCCAUGUGUAGCGGUGAAAUGCGUAGAUAUAUGGAGGAACACCGGUGGCGAAAGCGGCUCUCUGGUCUGUAACUGACGCUGAGGCUCGAAAGCGUGGGGAGCAAACAGGAUUAGAUACCCUGGUA
rnacentral:rRNA from 1 species